rnacentral:rRNA from 1 species
UACGUAGGGGGCGAGCGUUACCCGGAUUUACUGGGCGUAAAGGGGGCGUAGGCGGCCGUGAAAGUCCGGUGUGAAAACUCACGGCUCAACCGUGGGACUGCGCUGGAAACUACACGGCUUGAGGACGGUAGAGGGAGACGGAACUGCUGGUGUAGGGGUGAAAUCCGUAGAUAUCAGCAGGAACGCCGGUGGAGAAGUCGGUCUCCUGGGCCGUUCCUGACGCUGAGGCUCGAAAGCGUGGGUAGCAAACAGG